rnacentral:rRNA from 1 species
ACGGGUGAGUAAUACAUCGGAACGUAUCCUGGAGUGGGGGAUAGCCCGGCGAAAGCCGGAUUAAUACCGCAUACGCUCUGAGGAGGAAAGCGGGGGACCUUCGGGCCUCGCGCUCAAGGGGCGGCCGAUGGCGGAUUAGGUAGUUGGUGGGGUAAAGGCCUACCAAGCCGACGAUCCGUAGCUGGUCUGAGAGGACGACCAGCCACACUGGGACUGAGACACGGCCCAGACUCCUACGGGAGGCAGCAGUGGGGAAUUUUGGACAAUGGGGGCAACCCUGAUCCAGCAAUGCCGCGUGUGUGAAGAAGGCCUUCGGGUUGUAAAGCACUUUUGUCCGGAAAGAAAUCAUCGGGGCCAAUACCCCUGGUGGAUGACGGUACCGGAAGAAUAAGCACCGGCUAACUACGUGCCAGCAGCCGCGGUAAUACGUAGGGUGCGAGCGUUAAUCGGAAUUACUGGGCGUAAAGCGUGCGCAGGCGGUGCUGUAAGACCGAUGUGAAAUCCCCGGGCUUAACCUGGGAACUGCAUUGGUGACUGCAGCGCUGGAGUAUGGCAGAGGGGGUUGGAAUUCCACGU